GGGAUUGCCCUAGUAACGGCGAGUGAAGCGGCAACAGCUCAAAUUUGAAAUCUGGCCCUCGUGGUCCGAAUUGUAAUUUGUAGAGGAUGCUUUGGGUGCGGUGCCUUCCGAGUUCCCUGGAACGGGACGCCAGAGAGGGUGAGAGCCCCGUACGGUUGGCCACCUAGCCUCUAUAUAGCUCCUUCGACGAGUCGGGUAGUUUGGGAAUGCUGCUCUAAAUGGGAGGUAAAUUUCUUCUAAAGCUAAAUACCGGCCAGAGACCGAUAGCGCACAAGUAGAGUGAUCGAAAGAUGAAAAGCACUUUGAAAAGAGGGUUAAAUAGCACGUGAAAUUGUUGAAAGGGAAGCGUUUACGACCAGACCUUCUCCAGGCGGAUCAUCCGGUGUUCUCACCGGUGCACUUCGUCUGGUGUAGGCCAGCAUCGGUUUUCGUAAGGGGAUAAAGGCCUGGGGAACGUAUCUCCUUCGGGAGUGUUAUAGCCCCUCGCGUAAUACCCUUACGGGGACCGAGGACCGCGCUCUACGCAAGGAUGCUGGCGUAAUGGUCGUCAACGACCCGUCUUGAAACACGGACCAAGGAGUCGAACAUUUGUGCGAGUGUUUGGGUGUUAAACCCUCACGCGUAAUGAAAGUGAACGGAGGUGAGAGCCCCUCCGGGGUGCAUCAUCGACCGAUCCUGAUGUCUUCGGAUGGAUUUGAGUAAGAGCAUAACUGUUCGGACCCGAAAGAUGGUGAACUAUGCGUGGAUAGGGUGAAGCCAGAGGAAACUCUGGUGGAGGCUCGCAGCGGUUCUGACGUGCAAAUCGAUCGUCAAAUCUGCGCAUGGGGGCGAAAGACUUAUCGAACCAUCUAGUAGUGGUACGCGA
rnacentral:rRNA from 1 species